AGUUGAUCCUGGCUCAGGAUGAACGCUGGCGGCGUGCUUAACACAUGCAAGUCGAACGGGCCUAAGACUGAAGCUUGCUUUAGUUUAGGUUAGUGGCGGACGGGUGAGUAACGCGUGGGUAACCUACCCUGUGCAGGGGGAUAGCAGGCUGGAAACGGCUGAUAAAACCGCAUAACACGGCAAGAUCGCAUGAUGAUGCCGUCAAAUAUUUAUAGGCACAGGAUGGGCCCGCGUCUGAUUAGCUAGUUGGCGGGGCAACGGCCCACCAAGGCGACGAUCAGUAGCCGGCCUGAGAGGGUGAACGGCCACAUUGGGACUGAGACACGGCCCAAACUCCUACGGGAGGCAGCAGUGGGGAAUAUUGGACAAUGGGGGGAACCCUGAUCCAGCGAACCGCCGCGUGAGUGAAGAAGUAUUUCGGUAUGUAAAGCUCUAUCAGCAGGGAAGAUGAUGACGGUACCUGACUAAGAAGCACCGGCUAAAUACGUGCCAGCCGCCGC
rnacentral:rRNA from 1 species